UGCACAUUCUGAGGAAGGAUAAAUUCUAAGGAAGGAUCACUGGAUCUGAAACAUUAAUUGUGAUUUUUCUUUACAGAUGCUGCCAGACCUGCUGAGCUUUUCGAACAACUUCUGUUUCUGUUCCUAAGUUUGCAAUUAGUUUAGCUAUAUCCACAAUAUGUUGGACAACUGAUUGGCACCAAUUGUCCUGAAUGUGGCAUUUAAAGUAUAUUCCUGUUCCUUUUUUGUGUGUGACAGAUCAAGCAUUCCUUCAAUUUUUUGGUGAUGAUUUUCUUCGAUUAUUGUUGACCCGGUUUAUUCUCUGCUCUGCAACCAUGAGACUUCACAAAAUGUUCAGGGAAACUCGGAAUUACCCAGAAACGUAUCCACAGCUGCAGAAAGAAGAUAGUGUGGAGAAUCCUGCACUCCAGAAUCACAUUCUAGAACUAGCUUCCAUGCUGGAUGUUAGAAGCCUUUUCUUGGAAAAGACCACAACUGAAUAUUAGGAGAAAGGCUGAAAAAUAAAUUUAACAACUUAUCUGAAGCCAUUGGUUCUGAAGACGAUAUUUUUCUUUGCAUCUACCUAUUUGGAUAAUUGAAACAGAAUUCUUUCCGAUCAAACAAAUUCUCAAAUACUGACGUAUCUGGCACAAUUAUUUUCUGUAAUUAUGUGUUCCAUAGUCAAUGUAUAAGUGUAUUGUGGAAAAAAAACAUUAACACAGUAGGAUACAAUUUUAAAGAUGAUUUUUAAACAAAAAAUAGCUAAAAAGGGCAUUUACUACAAAAGCAAUAGUAGCUUUUUGAAUGAUUCAUUUAUUCAUCCUAUGUUAUGGUUCAACACUAGAUGUCAAUAGGGUUUUGAGUGUUUUAUAAGUAUCUCCUGCCAGUAAUACAUGGAAGAAAAGUUUAAAUAUUGCCCAUGAUAUUUUGUUUCAUUUUGAGAGUUAUAGUUAAACAUAUGUGCUAGUUGUUGUCUUAUUAGCAAACCCUUUAAUGGUAACUUUUAGGAUACUUAAGAGAAAUCAAUAGUCCUGCUACUGGACCUUUACUGCAAUCAUAUACAACAUGUCCUGAAAAACACUGUAUAUAAUGGUAUAGAUUAUGUGACACUCCCAUACUGCACUGUGACAGUCGAGCAUGCAUGAAUGAUGAUUGAGCAUGAAAACUACCAGGAGUCAUUCAAGGCAGAGUCCAGUAGAUUUAAGGUGGGUUUACAUAUGUAUGUUGCUUUACACUAUUGGAAUUGUGACAAAGCAAGGUGACAUUAUAUCUGAUGGCUUCCAAUGCAAUCUGAUAUGUUCCAUUAAAUACACUUGAGUAUGAAAUAAUUGAAGUUACUUUUUAUUUAGUUAAGCUUCGUUUUGAGGAAAUAAAGGAUAUCCUUAAUUAGACUGCAUCGACUCAUCUUCCCUCUUUGAAAGAGGAAUUAUUUUAUUGGUAAAAUUACUAGUAGCUAUAAUUUAAUGUUUCUUUGUUCCUGAACAACUGGUAGAAAUUAGUAGUUAGUGUUCUCAACACAAACCAUGCCAGGUCACACAUCUUAUGGUUACUAGUAUUGUGUUGCACAACUAAUUUUAGUUCAGCCAUAAGACGCUGCUACAUUUUUAUACAUGGAUACUUGAAAUAAGCAAGUUUUUUGUGUAAAGCUUGGGUAUUCAUACCUUUGCCAAAUAUACUUUGUAUAUUAAUAUUAAAGUAAAAGAAACAAUCUUUCCUGUUAUGAUCCAUCCAUGACAAGUAUCAUGACUAUUAAAGCUUCAAUUUAUGCCUGUGAUGUCAUUGUUUUGCACCAUGUUAGAUUUUUUCCUAAGAUGUUUUAAGAGUGCUUUUUGACUUGUGCAAAAAAUUCACUUCAAUUCUAUCAAAUCAUCAUGUAAUUAUGAUUUAACUUAUGUUAUUGGUCUAAUAUUCUGUCACUUGAACUUGUAUCCCUUUAUUAAAGUCUGAAUACGUUUUAGCUAAAAUACAAUUUUAAGGUAUGUGAAACAAGAAGGCAGCUUAAUAAAAUGUUAAAGGAUUAUUGGCCAGAUGGCAAAAGUGGACAUUGUAGUAUUGAAAAUUUUACUUCCAAAGUUCUAAAAAUGGCCAAUAAUUACCAUGUAAAUAAUUGCAACUACAAAGAUGUUUAAAGAUUUUUUAAAUGGAGGAACUUUUGUGAAUCACGUUGUAUUCACUUAAUGCAGCCCAACUCCUGUGCUGCAACUUUUCAAAAGGUUGUUAAGCAUGUUAUUAGAUUUAAAUGUGAUCUUUUGUUACUAUCGUGAAGCAAAAAAGUGAAAAGAUGAAAGCAGAAUUCUGUACUUUUAGUUAUAUUAAGAGAAACAGAGGGCGCACACUGGAGAAGAUGUUCUCACUGUCUGCACAUUAUAAUGCGUCUUGUGAUUAACAUAACUGUUGUAUGUACAUUUUGAUUUUUACUGUGUUCGUAAUGUGUAUUACCUUCUACUUUAUCAGAGAGUCAAUAAAAAAAGUCCUACAGUGAUAAAUAA